UGCUAGAAUGUAGGGGAGAAGGCUCCAGCUUCUUGACUUCUCUGUGUUUAAUGAGUUGUAUUAGUGUUGUCUUCAGAAACAGGUCCUUGCUGCCAGUUCGUGGAGAGCAACCUAUAGUCUUGACAACAACCUGGGGAUUCUCAUGGGACCUCUUUGGUCAACAACUUGAUUAGAUGUAAUCUAAUCCUGAGAAGCUUCUUGCAGAAAAUGGCAGUUAAUAUGGAGACAAACAAUCAACAUACAGAGAAGAAGAGACCGCAGAGUGCUCAACACUAAAUGGACCGUCUAUAGCACACUCUUCUCCCCGAGGCCCAGCAAGCAUCACAGAAGAGGAAGUGGAAAGAUCGGCAGAACCAUAGGCAAUGGAUGACCACAACAACGACAUCAACAAAACGUUUUCUGGACGCAACUGAGUUGCUAUGAGUUGUCCACAUGAACUCCUAGCAGUUUCAGCAGCAUGUUCAAGGCCUACACGAGUUCAAGCCAGGAAAAAUCCCAUAAUGGAGGAGAGGUAGAUCCAGAGUCACACCCUUGGCUGAAGAGCUACCAGCAAUUGAUAUCUGUCGAGAGAAGUGACAUUCACUAGUUCCUGAACUGCUACCUGGACAGCCAAUAGCUAAAGUUCAAGUCCAGCUGUAUGAAACUCUGCGAGUACAGUCACAGAUCCUCUGUGAAUGCAUUCCAUGGUGUGCAGUGUGGUAAAACUGAAAAACAUCCUUGCUCCUUCUGGGAUCUUUGCCUUAUACUGCAGUGAGUGACAGCUCUCUGACCUAUAAAUAAAGGAUGACUCUUUUUCUUAUUUA